rnacentral:rRNA from 1 species
UAAGUUGGUGGUGAAUAGUGCGGCUCAACCGCAUACACAUUAUCAAACUGUCAAGCUAGAGCGCGAGAGAGGUUAUUGGAAUUUCUAGUGUAGGAGUGAAAUCCGUAGAUAUUAGAAGGAACACCGAUGGCGUAGGCAGAUAACUGGCUCGCUGCUGACACUCAGACACGAAAGCGUGGGUAGCAAGCGGGAUUAGAUACCCCGGUAGUCCACGCCCUAAACGAUGGAUGCUA